rnacentral:rRNA from 1 species
CGUGUAGGCGGCUUGGUAGGUCCGCUGUGAAGACUCGAGGCUCAACCUCGAGACGCCGGUGGAAACCAUCAGGCUAGAGUCCGGAAGAGGAGAGUGGAAUUCCUGGUGUAGCGGUGAAAUGCGCAGAUAUCAGGAAGAACACCCGUGGCUAAGGCGGCUCUCUAGUACGGUACUGACGCUGAGACGCGAAAGCGUGGGGAGCGAACA